rnacentral:rRNA from 1 species
UACGAAGGGGGCUAGCGUUGCUCGGAAUUACUGGGCGUAAAGCGCACGUAGGCGGUCUUUUAAGUCGGUGGUGAAAUCCUGGAGCUCAACUCCAGAACUGCCUUCGAUACUGGAAGACUUGAGUCCGGGAGAGGUGAGUGGAACUGCGAGUGUAGAGGUGAAAUUCGUAGAUAUUCGCAAGAACACCAGUGGCGAAGGCGGCUCACUGGCCCAGUACUGACGCUGAGGUGCGAAAGCGUGGGGAGCAAACAGG